GGGUUUCAUUGUGUUAGCCAGGAUGGUCUCGAUCUCCUGACCUCGUGAUCCGCCCGUCUUAUAUUCUUUACUUAAACUUAAUUCUUCUUCAUUCAUCUUCCCUUCUUUCCUCUUUUCUCUUCUACCCAAAUGUCUUAACUGUUGACAUUCCCAAGUGUUUGGUCCUUGGCCUCUAGAGCUUGUGAAGGAGCACUGCUCAGUCCUUCCUUCAAGAAAGCGGCUUCAAGGAGUUCAGUUACAAAAGCUCCUGGCAUUGGGGAUCUGCCGCCAUGUUCUUGCCCAGGCUAUGCUGGUCCUGGCUGUCACCAAGCACAGUGGAGGUCCAGGUGCUAGGCCAUUUCUGCUCGACACAGGAUUCCUCUAAUGAGCAGUCUGAGGCCGGGCACUGGAGGCUGAGGCAGGAGAAUCGCUUGAACCCAGGAGGUGGAUGUUGCAAUGAGAUCGAGCCACUGCACUCCAGCCUGGGGGACAGAGCAAGACUCUGUGUCAAAAAAAUAAAAAUUAAACAAAAUACUGAGCAGUCUGCUUGGGCGCUUCCAUCAGCCUGGCCACAACAUCUUCGGAGCUUUCCUGCCUUCUUUUGCCCCAAUGUUCCUUGGCCCACCUGUCAGACCUACAUCAUAGGCUCUUCCUGUCUUCUGUUUCCUCUCCCCUUUCUCUAAAUAGGUGUUUCUCCUGAGAAAGAGAGAAAAAAACACCUGUCCCUGACUUUCAGAAGCUGACAACACUGUUCGGUCAUGUCAUUCUCCUGUUGGAUAUAAACAGUCUCUGAAUACCACCUCUAAAGUUGCUCUCAGGCCAUGAUAAAAUAAAUCACUUCAUAAUUUUGUCUAAGCACAUACAAAGAAAAUUCAGGGUCAGUUUACCACUCACAAAAUACCAAACAUCCUUCUCCUGGUUAAAAUGAGUGACAGCUGCUAUAUAUGUAUGUAUAUAUAUGCAAUUAUACCUUUAUUCCUACGCUAGUCCACCUUCCUAUAAAUAAGAUGUAUUGAGAUGCUCAAUCCUACAGUCACCCCCACUCUGACAGCAUCCAGUCGAGUGAAUCCUCACUUCCUUGAAAUCACCCAACCAGGGCCAGAAUCCUAAAAGAGGUUCUUUGUGACAUUCUUUGUCUGAGAAGCCCUAUGAUUCUCUGUGAUGAAUAGACCCAACUUGUUCAAAUACAGGCGUUUCUGGUGGGCUUUGGCUGAAGGCAUUCACACCCCCCAGUGAAUGUCUUGCACUUCUCAUUGUGUCUAGGGGCAUGCCUGGUGGAGGUCCUGACUGAGACAAUUGUGACUGGAUGUGGUCUGAGAGCAGGCAGUAGGAUGGGGCUUGGGGACCGGCUCACUCACUGCCCAACUGACAGCAAAACCCAUCUGGAGCAGCGUGUGAGCCCUUUUAGAGGUAGAUGUUAUCCCAUAAAAUCUGCUGCUCGUCUUAGACCAAGGAAGUGAAAAUAUUCAGUCCAAGCAUGCUACCAUCCAUUUCUGGUAGGUUUGGUUUGUUUUCUUUUUAAUUGGCUUUCCUGUUUAUUUUAACUUUUAUUCAUCUUCCUAUUGAGGUUAGAUGUGCAUUUUGGAAUUGCAUCAUUUUACAUAGAAACAGCUUUCCAGUGGAGUUGACUAGCAUCCUAAGGACAAGUACAACCACUUUUAAAGUAGAUCAGGGAAAUCACAAAGUCUGAUAUUCUACAAAAUGGAGUAUGAUAUUAUGGACACUAGAAAUACAACAUACAGGUCAUUAGUAAUGCUAAUAACAUUUUCCUAUAGAUGCUUUUUAAUAACACUGGUUUGUCUAAUGUCAAGAUAUUUGUAAUGAACUAUCACCAUGGAACCAUGGAAAAUCUUUUUUUGGAGACCAGGCUGGUUGGUGUGCAGGAGUUCGAUCUUGGCUCACUGCAACCUCUGCCUCCCAGGUUCAAGUGAUCCUCCCGCCUCAGUCCCCCAAGUAUCUGGGACCACGAGCACACACCACCAUGCCUGGCUAAGUUUUGUAUAUUUUGUAGAGACAGGGUUUCACCAUAUUGCCCAGGCUGGUCUCAAAUUCCUGGAUUCAAGUGAUCCGUCUGCCUCCCAAAGUGCUGGGAUUACAGAUGUGAGCCACUGUGCCUGGCAGAGCAGUAUGAAGUGUUAAUGCCAAAAUUUGUUUUAGCUCUCAUAUAUAAAUCAUAUUACAAGCAUAUUAUUUGGUUGGUCAGUUUUAGUUCAUUCCUUCAAUCAGAUGAUUUAAAAGAAAUGUUUUUCAAGUAUUCUCUGUGAUGUAGCCCAAAGAUUAGCUUAGAAAGAAAAGUACUUGGUAAACCAUUCCUGGUGUGGAGAGCCCUGUUUCUGCUGGGCUUCUUUGGGCUGGGCCGUUUCACCAUCUGGUGUCCUAAAAACAAAAAAAAGGAUUUUUAUAUGGUUUUGAAAAUUAUGCACGAAACAGCUUUAAUACCCACCAUCUUUUCAGGGAAAGGUAACUGCAUGUUUACUCUUCAGAAACACCCGAAUGGGACCGGCCAACAUUAGUAGUGGGAAACAAGUUGUAAAGGAUGGGGCUGGGGAGGGAGCACCUAAUCCUCAUUUUGAAAACAGAAGGUUCACCAUUGUUUGGUUCUCCAUUGUUCCUUUGAGACUUAGUGGUUGUAGCUCUGAUAAUUAUGCAGGAUUAACCAAACCUACAGGUUAAGAGACUUUAUUUUUAUUUUUUGAGACAGAGUCUCCCUCUGUCGCCCAGGCUGGAGUACAGUGGCAUGAUCUUGGCUCACGGCAACCUCCAGCCUUCUGGGUUCAAGCGAUCAUUGUGCCUCAGCCUCCCGAGGAGCUGGAAUUACAGGUGCACACCACCACACCCAGCUGAUUUUUGUAUUUUUUGUAGAGAUGGGUUUUGCCAUGUUGCCUAGGCUGGUCUCGAACUCCUGACCUUAGGUGAUCCACCCACCUCCACCUCCCAAAGUGCUGGGAUUACAGGCAUGAGCCACUGAGCCCGGCCUGAUUAAGAGACUUUAGAAUUCCAAGGUGAUACAGUAAAUCUUGAGGAAUAAUGUUAGUAAUGAUACUGAAACUAUAUUGAAGAUUUCUGUGCCAAGUCCUGUGCUAAGCACAUCCUAUGAAUUAAUUCCUUUAGUCUCACAUCAGUCUGAUGAGAUAGGUGCUGUAUUAUCUUAAAUGUAGAGGCAAAGAUAUGGAGACCUGGAGAGGUCAAGUGACUUGUCCAAGGCCACACAGCUAAGAAUGAGGAAGACUAAUUUGAAUUCAGACUUCCAGGCCAGAUGGAGUCCACCUUUUGCAUAACCCAUGCUGAAGUUUUCAGCUAAGUGAUUCAGUGUCCCCUAAUCAUCCAUGGAAAAAGGCCUUCUGGAAUUUGGUACCAGGAAUAGUACCCCUUCCAAAGAAUGACAUAAUUCCCUUCUCUUAAACAGUCUUCCCUUUUGGCUAAAUUACCAUUUUCCAAGGCAGGGCUUGUUUUACUACUCUUUAUAGCGCCCAAAUGCCGGGUACUUAGCAGGUGCCAGAAAGAAUCCUAAUUUCCCUCUUGCCUACAGGGAAAUAGAAUAAGGGCCUCUGUCCCCAACAUCCCCUACAACCUUGUGGCAGUUUUUGCAUCUGUAGACUGGUUGGGUUUGUAGGGCCGGCCACAGCUGUGGCUUGGGUCCAAGCUGGGUGAUUUAGUUAUUGGAGGGGCGUUAAUCCUGGAACUCAGAUCGCCACUCAGAAAGGUCUUUGCAUAGGAAGCGAGGUUCGGCACGCUGACCACACGGCUGGGCACGUCCUCCAUCUUCUUUUUCUGUUUGUAUUAAUGGAAAUGUUAGUGCAAUGCAAUGCAAAAAAACAAAACAAAGCAUUAUUAUAAAAGCAAAUAAUGCUCACCCAAUCAAAAUUGUAUCAGAGAAGCAACAAUUUCAUUUACAUACUUACAUGCUAUUUUUUAAAGCACUUUUCCCUCCAAUCUUCAUUUUGUAUUAUAAAUAAAUAUGUAUGUUCACAGCCUCUUAACCAAAA